rnacentral:rRNA from 1 species
GACGAACGCUGGCGGCGUGCUUAAUACAUGCAAGUCGAACGGAAAGGCCCUGCUUUUGUGGGGUGCUCGAGUGGCGAACGGGUGAGUAACACGUGAGUAACCUGCCCUUGACUUUGGGAAAACUUCAGGAAACUGGGGCUAAUACCGGAUAGGAGCUCCUGCUGCAUGGUGGGGGUUGGAAAGUUUCGGCGGUUGGGGAUGGACUCGCGGCUUAUCAGCUUGUUGGUGGGGUAGUGGCUUACCAAGGCUUUGACGGGUAGCCGGCCUGAGAGGGUGACCGGCCACAUUGGGACUGAGAUACGGCCCAGACUCCUACGGGAGGCAGCAGUGGGGAAUAUUGCACACUGGGCGGAAGCCUGAUGCAGCAACGCCGCGUGCGGGAUGACGGCCUUCGGGUUGUAAACCGCUUUCGCCUGUGACGAAGCGUGAGCGACGGUAAUGGGUAAAGAAGCACCGGCUAACUACGUG